rnacentral:rRNA from 1 species
UACGUAGGGUGCGAGCGUUAAUCGGAAUUACUGGGCGUAAAGCGUGCGUAGGCGGUGAUGUAAGUCAGGUGUGAAAUCCCCGGGCUUAACCUGGGAACUGCAUUUGUGACUGCAUCGCUGGAGUGCGGCAGAGGGGGAUGGAAUUCCGAGUGUAGCAGUGAAAUGCGUAGAUAUGCGGAGGAACACCGAUGGCGAAGGCAAUCCCCUGGGCCUGCACUGACGCUCAUGCACGAAAGCGUGGGGAGCAAACAGG